rnacentral:rRNA from 1 species
CAGUCGUACCGACGGGAAAUCAACCUUUUGAGUGUGAUCCCGUGGGCGUGAGAGAGCUAACAGCCUCCGCGUUUUCGGGUUUGUAUUCUUUGGGCGUACUUUUUCGUGUGGUAGGUCAGCAUCAAUUUCGAACGUUAUAAAAGGACCGGAGGAAUGUAGCUUCGAUUCGUCGAAGUGUUAUAGCCUUUGGUAGAUGUAACGAUCGGGAUUGAGGAUUGCAACGAAUACCCUUCGGGCUAUCCGUCUGGCCUCUGAUGGUGACCUUGGUGCCGAAAGCUUGCUUACGGUUAUUGAGGUUCGCUGCCAAAAGGUCAGAACGCGAUUAAA